CCCUUAGAUGUUCUGGGCCGCACGCGCGCUACACUGUUCGACGCAGCGAGUCUUAACCUUGACCGAAAGGUUUGGGUAAUCUUCAGCAAAGUCGAACGUGAUGGGGAUCGAUCAUUGCAAUUAUUGAUCGUGAACGAGGAAUUCCUAGUAAGUGCAAGUCAUCAGCUUGCGCUGAUUACGUCCCUGCCCUUUGUACACACCGCCCGUCGCUACUACCGAUUGAAUGGUUUAGUGAGAUCUCUGGAUUGACGCUGGCUAGGGGGCGACCCUUGGCCAGACUGUUGAGAAACUGCUCAAACUUGAUCAUUUAGAGGAAGUAAAAGCCGUAACA
rnacentral:rRNA from 1 species